UACGUAGGGUGCGAGCGUUGUCCGGAAUCAUUGGGCGUAAAGGGCUCGUAGGCGGCCCACUAAGUCCGACGUGAAAUCCCCAGGCUUAACUUGGGAACUGCGUCGGAUACUGGUGGGCUUGAAUCCGGGAGAGGGAUGCGGAAUUCCAGGUGUAGCGGUGAAAUGCGUAGAUAUCUGGAGGAACACCGGUGGCGAAGGCGGCAUCCUGGACCGGCAUUGACGCUGAGGAGCGAAAGCGUGGGGAGCAAACAGG
rnacentral:rRNA from 1 species